UACUGGAAACAGCCCUCCAGGGAGCAUUUAAUAACCGCAUAACUCAGUGAAGACGCGCUGCUCGCAUUCCAUUACUCACACUCACGCACACAGGAGAUGGAAACCGUAGUAAACGUCUCAACAACAUGAUACAACAACUGGCAGAGAGCUGUGUGUCCCUGGUGAUUUACACUUUUGGGCUAAUGAGAGAUGUUUAAAGAAGAGGAGAUGAAGAACAACUUCUUUCUCUUCCUGAAACCUCACAUCAAAACAAAAGCUCAACUGAGAAACCAAAAAGAUGAUUAAAUGAGAAUGCAGUGCUAGUGCGUCCUCAUUGACCUCCAGCCUGGAGCGGCACAUAGGCUUACACCAGUCCCAGCUGUAGGAAAUGACUGUGCAAUGCUGAGCAGAGGUGGGGCGGCUGGAGAGGGGGCUUCCGAAGUGAGAGAGCGAGAGAGACAGAGAGACCGAGAAAGAGAGAGAGACAGGGGGAGAGAGAGAGAGAGACGCCUCUGGGGACUGGAGAGAUGAGAGUUUUCCUGCUUUACAGGCUUUCUGGCUCCCCAUCAGUCACAUUUGGGCUCUUGAUGAUCAGUGUGUUGGGAGCUGGAACUGAACAACAAAGCAGACAUGCUGAGAGCCCUCAUGAGCUCUGGACAUCUAGGCACUUGGGUACCAAGCUGCACCUGCAGCAGACAAUAAUAAACAGCACAGCAGGUGGCAUCAUCUAUGUGUACAGACAGGAGUUCAGCCUGAAAUACAUCCAGUACAUCUAGUACUCAUUUACACUGUAUUACUUCCAGGGCUCAGAAAUGGAACAAAAAAAAAGUGAGUUUGGUGAGCCAUACCAACAUUUUACUAUUUCUUGGUUACCAUUGAUUAAUCUAAACACUCUGUCCAAUGACAGGCUGGUUUCUUUUUUCUUUUUCUCAACAUUCAAUAUAAUUUUAUAUUAUAUUACCUGUAAAAUCUUUUCCUCUGUUCCUAUUGCUUGUGUUAGUGUUUGCUAUCUGGUGUCGCCCAGAGGAGGAUGGAUUCCCCUUUUGAGUCUGGGUUCCUCUCAAGAUUUCUUCCUCUUGAUCUUAGGAAGCUUUUUCUUGAGGCUUGCUCAUUGGGGCUCGGACUUUUUUGUGACAACACCUGUAGCAGAACCACUAUUUAAAUAAACUUUGACUUGACUCUUGUGUUCCAACAGCCACAUAACUUCAGGUUAGUUAUGGGUGUUACGAUCAAAACAAGAUCAAGACAUAGCAAAUUCCCCAUUUUAGAAUGCGUAACCACACUA